ACAAUACUGACGCUCAAGGUGCGAAAGCGUGGGGAGCAAACAGUGAUUAGAUACCCUGGUAGUCCACGCCGUAAACGAUGUCUACUAGCUGUUCGUGGUCUUGUACUGUGAGUAGCGCAGCUAACGCACUAAGUAGACCGCCUGGGGAGUACGGUCGCAAGAUUAAAACUCAAAUGAAUUGACGGGGGCCCGCACAAGCGGUGGAGCAUGUGGUUUAAUUCGACGCAACGCGAAGAACCUUACCUACUCUUGACAUCUAGCGAAGAUUGCAGAGAUGCAGUUGUGCCUUCGGGAACGCUAAGACAGGUGCUGCAUGGCUGUCGUCAGCUCGUGUUGUGAAAUGUUGGGUUAAGUCCCGCAACGAGCGCAACCCUUAUCCUUAGUUGCCAGCACGUAAUGGUGGGAACUCUAGGGAGACUGCCGGUGAUAAACCGGAGGAAGGUGGGGACGACGUCAAGUCAUCAUGGCCCUUACGAGUAGGGCUACACACGUGCUACAAUGGUACGUACAGAGGGAGGCAAGCUGGCGACAGUGAGCGGAUCUCUUAAAGCGUAUCGUAGUCCGGAUCGCAGUCUGCAACUCGACUGCGUGAAGUCGGAAUCGCUAGUAAUCGCAAAUCAGAAUGUUGCGGUGAAUACGUUCCCGGGCCUUGUACACACCGCCCGUCACACCAUGGGAGUGGGUUGCAAAAGAAGUAGUAGCUUAACCUUCGGGAGGGCGCUUACCACUUUGUGGAUUCAUGACUGGGGUGAAGUCGUA
rnacentral:rRNA from 2 species